GAUGAACGCUAGCGGCAGGCUUAAUACAUGCAAGUCGAGGGGCAGCACGGGUAGCAAUACCUGGUGGCGACCGGCGCACGGGUGCGUAACACGUAUACAAUCUACCUUUAACAGGGGGAUAGCCUUUCGAAAGAGAGAUUAAUACCCCAUAACACAUGAAAUAGCAUUAUUUUAUGUUAAAAGCUCCGGCGGUUAAAGAUGAGUAUGCGUCUGAUUAGCUAGUUGGUAAGGUAACGGCUUACCAAGGCUACGAUGUUUAGGGGAUCUGAGAGGAUCGACCCCCACACUGGUACUGAGAC
rnacentral:rRNA from 1 species